UACGGAGGGUGCAAGCGUUACUCGGAAUCACUGGGCGUAAAGCGCGCGCAGGCGGCUAGAUAAGUUGGAAGUGAAAUCCUAUGGCUCAACCAUAGAACUGCUUCCAAAACUGUUUAGCUAAAGUCUGGGAGGGGAAGAUGGAAUUAGUAGUGUAGGGGUAAAAUCCGUAGAGAUUACUAGGAAUACCAAAAGCGAAGGCGAUCCUCUGGAACAGUACUGACGCUGAGGCGCGAAAGCGUGGGGAGCAAACAGGAUUAGAUACCCUGGUAGUCCACGCCCUAAACGAUGAAUGUUAGUCGUCGGGACUCUAGUAGUUUCGGUGAUGCAGUUAACACAUUAAACAUUCCGCCUGGGGAGUACGGUCGCAAGAUUAAAACUCAAAGGAAUAGACGGGGACCCGCACAAGUGGUGGAGCAUGUGGUUUAAUUCGAAGAUACGCGAAGAACCUUACCUAGCCUUGACAUAUUUUAGAACUCCGCAGAGAUGUAGAGGUGCCUUCGGGAGCUAAUAUACAGGUGCUGCACGGCUGUCGUCAGCUCGUGUCGUGAGAUGUUGGGUUAAGUCCCGCAACGAGCGCAACCCUCGUUCUUAGUUACUAACGGUUCGGCCGAGGACUCUAAGAAGACUGCCUUCGUAAGGAGGAGGAAGGUGAGGACGACGUCAAGUCAUCAUGGCCCUUACGGCUAGGGCAACACACGUGCUACAAUGGUUAGGACAAUGAGACGCAAUACCGCGAGGUGGAGCAAAUCUAUAAACCUAAUCUCAGUUCGGAUUGUAGUCUGCAACUCGACUACAUGAAGCUGGAAUCACUAGUAAUCGUAGAUCAGCUAUGCUAC
rnacentral:rRNA from 1 species